ensembl:lncRNA
AUUUAAGUGAAAAGCCAGUUCUGGCAUAAAAACAAAUGGUAUAAGUCGCAUCAGAAAAAUUAGUCCAGAAGAUCUCCAGACAGCGGUUUAGGCAUGUCCUAAGGCUUCUGAAUAGCAACAGUGGGUGGGGCAUCCAAGUUAUUUUUCUGACAGAGUCUGACUGGUGAUGAACCACUUGUAAUAGCACUGGCCCUGUGGGGCUGAUGCGUUGGAGGGCAGAGAUGCCACACACAGUGCCACACUGCCAUCAGGGCAUAAUUACAUGGCUAUUGCUUUACUACGUACAGCCUAAAUGCUUUCUUUUGCUUCUCAGUUCUUGUUAAUCUCAACGCUGCUCUUCUUUCUCUCUUUCCCUAGCAUCUCAAGGAGACACUCUUGUACAUUACAAUGUGAUCAGUGCCUUCUUCUGUGUUUUAUCCUGUUUUAUCCAGCACCAUCUGACACCGUUUCUUCAACAGCAUCCCUGUUCUUUCUCCUUCUCCUUUAUCUCUAUGCUCUUCCAUCCAUCUUGCACUACCUCCUUAUUUCUUCUCUGCUGCCCUGUUUUACUACCUGCAUGAUUUUCCUUAGCAUCCUGGAUUUCUGAUUUCAGCUCUCAGCUCUUCUCACCACCAUCUGCUGCUUGCCUCCCAUGUCUUCCUGAAGAGGGUUUGAUGUUAUUUACCUGCAAAUUGAUAUUACAUAGGUAUCUAUACAUACCAGAUUCUGUGGGAAGUGUGUACCUAACCUGAAUAUCAUAUGAUGAGACAAUAAACUAAACAAGAAAAGAUAUACACUGAUAUAAACUGUGGCUGGAGGGGCUACAACUGCUCACUUCUGUGAAUGGAUGUGUAAAGGCUCCAGGAAAUUGCAAGGGAUGUGUUGGGGGACAGGGAAGCAGCACAGCUGGGUUAGCAAAGUGGAAUUAGGCUGCAUGUAAGGAAAAAGAUUUUACGAUAAUAGUGUUGAGGCACUGGAACAGGGUGCCCAGCGAGAUGGUGGAUGCUCCAUCCCUGUAGAUAUUAAACGUAAGUUUGGAUGGGGCUCUGAGCAACCUGAUCUAGCUGUAGCUGUCCCUGUUCACUGCAGGUGAGCUGGACUAGGUGACCUUUAAAGGUCCCUUUCAAUUCAAAUGAGUCCCCAUCCUCUUGGUGAACUGUGUGUGACUGUGUCAUCUAGUGUGCACAGGGUGUUUAAAUGCUGCUAGCAUGCUUAUUUAAGGGCAAGACAAUUUUUCUGCCCUGAGAAAUGUCUUAUCUAAAAGUCAGUCAGAGGAGGACGAUGAUUGUAUCCCUUUAAAUGGUCACUUAAGGUCCGGUCAAUGGGAUGCUUUCCGUGCUCUGCCAACUGGAUCUCCAUUUACUCUAAUAGGAAUUUAGACACUCAUCUCAGACACAGACAUUCAUAUUUAAUGAACUGACACAUGUCAAGUGUCACUGGAGAUGCCUCAGGAUAUCUGAGAUGUAUUUAUGCGAUGGGAGGAAAUUACACAGGAUCUACAGUGGACUUGUGACCUUCUGAAGCAGGAGCUGGAGAUUAGGCAGAGGUUUUCCCCUAGGACACCCUAAAUGGCACAGAAGGUCUAUGUGUGGGCAACUGAACGAAGCUCUGUGUGUCAUAAUCUGGAGCUGAAUCAUCCCAGAGAAUGCUUACAGCAGAAACAAAAGUUUUCAUGUGCAGCUGAAGAAACCAAACAAGCCAGUUUUGCAAGCUUCAGGAUUUCAGAGAAGCACUUGCAAUUCGAUAUUGAUUAUCUGCUGCAAACAACACAGUCCUGGACAAAAGAAACCACUGAUGUCUCCAAAGAGGAGCAAAAGCAAAGUCUGAGUGAAAAAUGAUAACGACAGGUGAGUGUUAAUGGAUUUAUAUCACAGGAUACAGUGGCUUUGAUUCUGUAAAGAAGACAACAGUGUUACAAAUGGCCUGAAAUGAAAUAAAAGCAACUUUGAAUGAAAACAGAGUGCUUGGAGAAGUGAGAUUAGCUUGGCUGCUCACUCAAUGGAUCAAAAAUUGCAUUGAUCUAUUGCCUCUGACUUUCCCCAUAAUGUCCAGAAAAUGUAACCUAAGUACAGCUGAAGUGCAAGGCCGUUGCCUGAAAAAUGCUUUUUUGUUGUUGUUGUUGUUUUUCCCUCUCUCAAUGGAAAAUUUCAGCUCAGUUUUUCCAGUGGUCCAAAACAUUCUCGGCUUCCCACGUUCUGAGAUGACAACAAUGCUCAGCUUUCUUUGGCCCGAGUUACGGCACCGUGCCAUGAAGUGCCUUCAGUUGUGAGAAGUCUUAAAUCAACACUUUUUACCAGCAAAGAGUGAGGAAACACAGUUUCUAAACCGCAUGAAAUAUUCAUGUCUAGCAUCAUGUGAGAUACCAUCUGGCCAGAUCAAACCAGAACAGGGCUGAUGGUGACACAGGAACACACGGGACAGAAAAGAGGACAAUGUGACUUGAAGAGUCAUUGUUUUGUGAGCUAAAAAGGGCCACUGCAAAAACAGCAAGGAUUACUCCAGGGCCAAUUAACUUUUCAAACAAAGAAUAAUCUGAAAGAAAAACAUUGAUCCUUGGGGGUCUGUUAUUAGAAAAAUCCUAAUGUGCUUCACUUGACAGAUGAAGGCGCUGACAAUUUAAUUGCAACUUUACUUAAAUAUUAAAAUGUCUAAAAAA